GUAUUCAAAUCUCUUUCUGAUUCCGAUUUCGGUUAUGAACCAAAUAUGUUGGGGGAUAUAGCCAUUCCGAUUCCCAUUCCAAUCUUUUCCGAUUUUGAUUCCGAUUCUGAUCACGAACCAAAAGCGCUUGUAAGGUUUUUUUUUCCUUAAAAUUUUUCUGUUCCAUAAUUGCCUUGGUGCAUUGGUGAUUGUUUUUUCUGUUGCGCUUAAUAUGCCUCUUGGGUGGAUAUAUAUGAGUUCUUUUUGUUUAAACAUAUCUUCUUCAUAAUCGGUCAUCUUCGUAGUUUUAUUAUCUGAGGACUUUACAACAAUGAAUUUCUCCUACCUCAUAUAGAGGUAUGGAUUCUAUGGAAGCACUAGAGCAUUGCAAUUUAUUUAAUCGUCAUACAUCCAUUUCAUCCUCAAUAUCCUAUAUUUUCAGGCUCUGGCUCUGAGAAUGAUAACUAUUUGACGAGCGAGUUACAUGUUUUGCAAAAUUAUCUUCUACUGCUUUAUCUCCAGAAUUCACCUGUCAUCAUCUUGAGGUCAUUCGAGCUAACCACAGUCGCCACUUUCAUUACUCAUGGCCUAUAUAGGUGGCCUACUUCCCGUUUGUAUCGCACACUUGCAUAUCCAUGGUGUCAUUUGUUUUGCUGCUCAAUCUUGCCCUGUUUCUGGCUAUCUAGCUGGCUCUGUUAGCAUGUAUUCCAAUGCUUCCUAUGUCAGAAAUCAAUGUUUUACUUGUUUGUCAGUGGUCAGCACUAGUACAGUAGUACCACAGGCAACUUUCAUGGGUAUUAUGCCACUGCCUUUACU
rnacentral:lncRNA from 1 species